rnacentral:rRNA from 1 species
CACUUCUAAGGAAGGCAGCAGGCGCGCAAAUUACCCAAUCCUGACUCAGGGAGGUAGUGACAAGAAAUAACAAUAAACCGGCUUAUGCCGGUUUAAUUGGAAUGAGUACAAUUUAAACAUCUUAACGAGGAACAAUUGGAGGGCAAGUCUGGUGCCAGCAGCCGCGGUAAUUCCAGCUCCAAUAGCGUAUACUAAAGUUGUUGCAGUUAAAAAGCUCGUAGUUGGAUUUCUGUGGGGACGGAGCGGCCGGCCGCAACACGCGGUUCGAGCUAGCGCUUUCCCUACAUCCUGCCGCGAACCGUGCUACCAUUAGUUUGGUGGCGCCGGGGAUCGGCUCGAUUACUUUGAGAAAAAUAGAGUGUUCAAAGCAGGCCACACGCCUUGAAUAAGUUAGCAUGGAAUAAUAACUAAGGACUUCGGUUCUAUUUUGUUGGUGUUCGGGACUGAAGUAAUGAUUGAUAGGGACAGUUGGGGCGGUCUGUAUUCCAAAGCGAGAGGUGAAAUUCUUAGACCUUCGGAAGACAAACAGCUGCGAAAGCGUUCCGCAAGGAUGUUCCCUUUGAUCAAGAACGAAAGUUGGGGGAUCGAAGACGAUCAGAUACCGUCGUAGUCUCAACUAUAAACUAUACCAGCUAGGGAUCGGCCAACGUUAUUCUAUACCGACUUGGUCGGCACCUUAUGAGAAAUCAAAGCAUCUGGGUUCCGGGGGGAGUAUGGUCGCAAGGCUGAAACUUAAAGGAAUUGACGGAAGGGCACCACCAGCCGUGGAGCCUGUGGCUUAAUUUGACUCAACACGGGAAAACUUACCAGGUCCAGACAUAGUAAGGAUUGACAGAUUGAUAGCUCUUUCUUGAUUCUGUGGGUGGUGGUGCAUGGCCGUUCUUAGUUGGUGGAGUGAUUUGUCUGGUUAAUUCCGUUAACGAACGAGACCCCAGCCUGCUAAAUAGCGCGCGUGAGCUUUGCUCGCGGCGAGCUUCUUAGAGGGACUAUGAUGCGCGAUAGCACAUGGAAGUUUGGGGCAAUAACAGGUCUGUGAUGCCCUUAGAUGUUCUGGGCCGCACACGGGCUACACUGGCGCCUGCAACGAGCAUAUCAGCUGGCCCGAGAGGGUCUUGGCUAAUCUUUUGAACCGGCGCCGUGCUUGGGAUUGACCUUUGCAAUUGUUGGUCAUGCAACGAGGAAUGCCUUGUAAACGCGAGUCGUCAGCUCGCAUUGAAUACGUCCCUGCCCUUUGUACACACCGCCCGUCGCUCCUACCGAUGAAUGUUCCGAUGAAAUUUUCGGAGAGUGCCUGUGAACUUGGCUCUGCCUUGCGAACGGGAAGCUCAAAGUCACUUAAAUCUGAACAUUU